CCUACGGGUGGCAGCAGUGAGGAAUAUUGGUCAAUGGCCGGAAGGCUGAACCAGCCAAGCCGCGUGAAGGACGAAGGUGCCAAGCAUUGUAAACUUCUUUUGUCAAGGGACAAAAUCAGGCUCGAGAGCCUGACCGAGGUGACUUGACGAAAAAGCAUCGGCUAACUCCGUGCCAGCAGCCGCGGUAAUACGGGGGAUGCGAGCGUUAUCCGGAUUUAUUGGGUUAAAAGGGUGAGUGGGGGGAGUGUUAAGUCAGCGGUAAAAGCCCGGGGCUCAGCCCCGGCGAGCCGUUGAUACUGGCUAGCUUGAGAUGUCGAGAGGUGUGCGGAAUGCGCAGUGUAGCGGUGAAAUGCUUAGAUAUUGCGCAGAACUCCGAUUGUGAAGGCAGCAUACCGGCGGCAAUCUGACGCUGAGGUACGAAAGCGUGGGUAUCGAACAGGAUUAGAUACCCCGGUAGUC
rnacentral:rRNA from 1 species